CCUUUGGCCUGGAAUAACACGAGGAAACUUGUGCUAAUACCGGAUAAGUCUUUACGGAGAAAGCUUUAUGCACCAUUGGAUGAGCCUGCACUUGAUUAGUUUGUUGGUGGGGUAAUGGCCUACCAAGACUGUGAUCAAUAGCUGAUUUGAGAGGAUGAUCAGCCACAUUGGGACUGAGACACGGCCCAAACUCCUACGGGAGGCAGCAGUGGGGAAUCUUGCACAAUGGAGGAAACUCUGAUGCAGCGAUGCCGCGUGAGUGAAGAAGGCCCUUGGGUUGUAAAGCUCUUUCGUCGGGGAAGAAAAUGACUGUACCCGAAUAAGAAGGUCCGGCUAA
rnacentral:rRNA from 1 species